rnacentral:rRNA from 1 species
UACGGAGGGUGCAAGCGUUACCCGGAAUCACUGGGCGUAAAGGGCGUGUAGGCGGGAUGUUAAGUCUGACUUUAAAGACUGUGGCUCAACCACAGGAGUGGGCUGGAUACUGGCAUUCUAGACCACUGGAGAGGCGAUUGGCAUUACUGGUGUAGCGGUGGAAUGCGUAGAUACCAGUAGGAACGUCAAUGGCGAAGGCAGGUCGCUGGACAGUUUGUGACGCUGAGGCGCGAAAGUGUGGGGAGCAAACCGGAUUAGAUACCCGGGUAGUCCACACCCUAAACGAUGCACGUUUGAUGAUCGUGGGAUGCCAUGAUUGUCGAAGCCAACGCGAUAAACGUGCCGCCUGGGAAGUACGGCCGCAAGGUUGAA